UUUAUUGGAGAGUUUGAUCCUGGCUCAGGAUGAACGCUGGCGGCGUGCCUAAUAGAUGCAAGUCGAGCGCAUGGAAUAAGAGCAUACUCUUAUAACGUUA
rnacentral:rRNA from 1 species